rnacentral:rRNA from 1 species
GCGAACGCUGGCGGCAGGCUUAACACAUGCAAGUCGAACGGGCACUUCGGUGCUAGUGGCAGACGGGUGAGUAACACGUGGGAACGUACCUUUCGGUUCGGAAUAAUUCAGGGAAACUUGGACUAAUACCGGAUAAGCCCUUCGGGGGAAAGAUUUAUCGCCGAUAGAUCGGCCCGCGUCUGAUUAGCUAGUUGGUGAGGUAAUGGCUCACCAAGGCGACGAUCAGUAGCUGGUCUGAGAGGAUGAUCAGCCACAUUGGGACUGAGACACGGCCCAAACUCCUACGGGAGGCAGCAGUGGGGAAUAUUGGACAAUGGGCGAAAGCCUGAUCCAGCCAUGCCGCGUGUGUGAUGAAGGCCUUAGGGUUGUAAAGCACUUUUGUCCGGGAAGAUAAUGACUGUACCGGAAGAAUAAGCCCCGGCUAACUUCGU